rnacentral:rRNA from 1 species
UACGGGGGGAGCAAGCGUUGUUCGGAUUUACUGGGCGUAAAGGGCGCGUAGGCGGCCUCUGCAAGUCGACUGUGAAAUCUCCGGGCUUAACCCGGAAAGGUCAGCCGAUACUGCAGGACUAGAGUGCAGAAGGGGCAACUGGAAUUCUCGGUGUAGCGGUGAAAUGCGUAGAUAUCGAGAGGAACACCUGCGGCGAAGGCGGGUUGCUGGGCUGACACUGACGCUGAGGCGCGAAAGCUAGGGGAGCGAACGGG